CUGGAGUCUACUGCCAGGGCCGGGACAAGUACGAGGACCAGGCCGAGAUCCAUGCCCUGGUGCUGCUCUACGACCUGGAUGUGCCUCUUGCUGUCCACUUAAGCUUUAUUGGCUGGGGAUGAAUGGGACAAUCAGCCCUUUCCACCAGUAAUGAAUAAUUUAAAGGCUCCCUCAGCACUGUGGAAAAGACAUACACAUGAGGGCAUUUUAGGUUUAGUUGUAUUUCCCUUUAGGUUACCAUCCUUCAGGAAGAACAAUGACAAGCAUUUGAACCCUCCCUUUCAACCUCCUCCAAAUAAUGAAAAACCUUCUACCUCAAUGCGCUGGUUUUCGUAAUUGGCACGAAACAAAGAGACUCGGGUUUUACUGAUGGAGGGAGAGUUUGAUGC